rnacentral:rRNA from 1 species
CCGUCGUGAGACAGAUCGGAUUUUACCUGUUGGGUGUGCUGGCUGCCUGAGGGGAAGGUGCUCCCAGUACGAGAGGAACGGAGCGCCGGGGCCUACGGUUUACCGGUUGUCCUACAGGGCACUGCCGGGCAGCUGCGCCCCUGCGGAUAAGGGCUGAAAGCAUCUAAGCCCGAAGCCGCUCCCGAAACUAGGCAGCCGCUCGCCGGAGUAGGGCCUGGCAACAGGUCUGUUCUGGCGACGAGGGCUCCCGUAGAAGACGGGUUUGAUGGGGCGGGGGUGUAAGGAUGGAGGCUUCGGCCGGACAUCCUCAGCCCGCCGCUCCCAACCGCUCGAGUGGCCUAAGGA